CAUUAUGGGAUGGGCACAGUCUUGUCAUGGCGGAGGUUGGAGGGAGCAGGGUCCUCAGUGUCAGACCGGUGUUUGUCUCCGCACUGGAAGAAGGGAGGGUGAGAUGGGUAGAACCUCAAGAAACAAACAACCAGAGUUACGAACUGACCAGUCAACCACACACCUCAUUUUGAACUGGAAGUAAUGCAAUCAGGCUGCAGAGACAAAAUAUAGUACAGCACAGUACUUUGUUAAAUGUAAACUACUAAAAACAGGGAAAGUUAAACAAAAUUGACAAGGCAAGAAAACUGAAAGAGAAAUUAUGAUAUGCUUAAGAUCACACUGCAAGUCUAUGAAGAAGCUGUAAACUGAACCUAGGUCUCCUGAAUGCCUUGUCCUGUGCCUUCACCAAGGCAGUUACGUCAGCCCAGCCAAAGACAUCUCCGGCCUGGGGUGCUGGCCAGGAGGAGCCAAGCUCUGCACGCACCAGAGCCCUGCACAGCACUGCAACAGGGAAGCCUCUCUGCCC